rnacentral:rRNA from 1 species
UGGGGAAUAUUGCACAAUGGGCGCAAGCCUGAUGCAGCCAUGCCGCGUGUAUGAAGAAGGCCUUCGGGUUGUAAAGUACUUUCAGCGGGGAGGAAGGGAGUAAAGUUAAUACCUUUGCUCAUUGACGUUACCCGCAGAAGAAGCACCGGCUAACUCCGUGCCAGCAGCCGCGGUAAUACGGAGGGUGCAAGCGUUAAUCGGAAUUACUGGGCGUAAAGCGCACGCAGGCGGUUUGUUAAGUCAGAUGUGAAAUCCCCGGGCUCAAACUGGGAACUGCUUCUGAUACUGGCAAGCUUGAGUCUCGUAGAGGGGGGUAGAAUUCCAGGUGUGGCGGUGAAAUGCGUAGAGAUCUGGAGGAAUACCGGUGGCGAAGGCGGCCCCCUGGACGAAGACUGACGCUCAGGUGUGAAAGCGUGGGGAGCAAACAGG